GACGAACGCUGGCGGCGUGCUUAACACAUGCGAGUCGAACGGAAAGGCCCUGCUUUUGUGGGGUGCUCGAGUGGCGAACGGGUGAGUAACACGUGAGUAACCUGCCCUUGACUUUGGGAUAACUUCAGGAAACUGGGGCUAAUACCGGAUAGGAGCUCCUGCUGCAUGGUGGGGGUUGGAAAGUUUCGGCGGUUGGGGAUGGACUCGCGGCUUAUCAGCUUGUUGGUGGGGUAGUGGCUUACCAAGGCUUUGACGGGUAGCCGGCCUGAGAGGGUGACCGGGGUGUGUGAGAGUGAAGCGCGGACAAGCGAGCGAGGGGGGUGAGGGGGGGAGCAUAGUAGACGCGGGGCGGAAGCGCGAGGCAGCUGCGGCGGGUGGGGGUGGGCCGGCUUGGGUGUGUGCCUCGUUUGCUGCGGUGAAGAGGUGUGAGUGAUGGAGAUGGGCAAAGAAGCACGGGCCAACGACGUGACAGCGGGCGGGGUUAGUCGAGGAGGAGCACACGUCUAACC
rnacentral:rRNA from 1 species